UACAGAGGUCUCAAGCGUUGUUCGGAUUCAUUGGGCGUAAAGGGUGCGUAGGCGGCGCGGUAAGUCGGGUGUGAAAUCUCGGAGCUUAACUCCGAAACUGCAUUCGAUACUGCCGUGCUUGAGGACUGGAGAGGAGACUGGAAUUCCUGGUGUAGCGGUGAAAUGCGCAGAUAUCAGGAGGAACACCGGUGGCGAAGGCGGGUCUCUGGGCCGAUACUGACACUGAGGAGCGAAAGCGUGGGGGAGCGAACAGG
rnacentral:rRNA from 1 species